rnacentral:rRNA from 1 species
GGGUUGUGAGGUUAAGCGACUAAGCGUACACGGUGGAUGCCCUGGCAGUCAGAGGCGAUGAAGGACGUGCUAAUCUGCGAUAAGCGUCGGUAAGGUGAUAUGAACCGUUAUAACCGGCGAUUUCCGAAUGGGGAAACCCAGUGUGUUUCGACACACUAUCAUUAACUGAAUCCAUAGGUUAAUGAGGCGAACCGGGGGAACUGAAACAUCUAAGUACCCCGAGGAAAAGAAAUCAACCGAGAUUCCCCCAGUAGCGGCGAGCGAACGGGGAGCAGCCCAGAGCCUGAAUCAGUAUGUGUGUUAGUGGAAGCGUCUGGAAAGGCGCGCGAUACAGGGUGACAGCCCCGUACACAAAAAUGCACAUGCUGUGAGCUCGAUGAGUAGGGCGGGACACGUGGUAUCCUGUCUGAAUAUGGGGGGACCAUCCUCCAAGGCUAAAUACUCCUGACUGACCGAUAGUGAACCAGUACCGUGAGGGAAAGGCGAAAAGAACCCCGGCGAGGGGAGUGAAAAAGAACCUGAAACCGUGUACGUACAAGCAGUGGGAGCACGCUUAGGCGUGUGACUGCGUACCUUUUGUAUAAUGGGUCAGCGACUUAUAUUCUGUAGCAAGGUUAACCGAAUAGGGGAGCCGAAGGGAAACCGAGUCUUAACUGGGCGUUAAGUUGCAGGGUAUAGACCCGAAACCCGGUGAUCUAGCCAUGGGCAGGUUGAAGGUUGGGUAACACUAACUGGAGGACCGAACCGACUAAUGUUGAAAAAUUAGCGGAUGACUUGUGGCUGGGGGUGAAAGGCCAAUCAAACCGGGAGAUAGCUGGUUCUCCCCGAAAGCUAUUUAGGUAGCGCCUCGUGAAUUCAUCUCCGGGGGUAGAGCACUGUUUCGGCAAGGGGGUCAUCCCGACUUACCAACCCGAUGCAAACUGCGAAUACCGGAGAAUGUUAUCACGGGAGACACACGGCGGGUGCUAACGUCCGUCGUGAAGAGGGAAACAACCCAGACCGCCAGCUAAGGUCCCAAAGUCAUGGUUAAGUGGGAAACGAUGUGGGAAGGCCCAGACAGCCAGGAUGUUGGCUUAGAAGCAGCCAUCAUUUAAAGAAAGCGUAAUAGCUCACUGGUCGAGUCGGCCUGCGCGGAAGAUGUAACGGGGCUAAACCAUGCACCGAAGCUGCGGCAGCGACGCUGAUGCGUUGUUGGGUAGGGGAGCGUUCUGUAAGCCUGUGAAGGUGUGCUGUGAGGCAUGCUGGAGGUAUCAGAAGUGCGAAUGCUGACAUAAGUAACGAUAAAGCGGGUGAAAAGCCCGCUCGCCGGAAGACCAAGGGUUCCUGUCCAACGUUAAUCGGGGCAGGGUGAGUCGACCCCUAAGGCGAGGCCGAAAGGCGUAGUCGAUGGGAAACAGGUUAAUAUUCCUGUACUUGGUGUUACUGCGAAGGGGGGACGGAGAAGGCUAUGUUGGCCGGGCGACGGUUGUCCCGGUUUAAGCGUGUAGGCUGGUUUUC